GGCGCUAACCGAAUCCUUUUGAUCCCUGCGUGAAGCAUGGCAGGAUGAGGUGGCAUUUCCAGAAUUAGGGUCUCGUGAGGGUGGAGAGGGAAGCACGUCAAACUGGAUUGCAGAUCUUGGAGUAACUGCCACAUUAGGGUACGCGCUUGGAACAAAGGCAGGAGCGGUAUGGGUGGGCUGUGCUUUUGCAGCUAGAUGCCGUGCUUGGCGGGUUAUUUCUUGGAGCAGUGGAACGUCGUGGAGGAUCGCCUUGGCUGCCUUGAUCACGAUGAAGACGGUGAGGGCAGUCGUCUUGGGCAUGGAGACCUUGCGUGUUAUAGAUGCCGCAGAUGGGCUGGUACUCAAUUGAUCCUCGUGCAUUUGGACACUCGGGAGCCCGGCUGUUGGCGACGAAAGCAGAUGAUUGGAUGUCGAGCUUGACCCCUUCUAGGUACAUUACUCGUUCAUGCUGGAGCUGCUGCAUAAACGGGUACUAGAUUGGGCAUAUAACCUUAUAGAAGCAGAGGUGGCAAUGGAUCUCGAAGGAGCUGGGGCUGGACGUGGUAGCUGGGACGUGCAGGUGUGCAAGGAGCUGGCUGAGUUGAGGUACCGGGUUUAUACAUGCAGUGCUCUGAUCUGUGAUUAUUUCGUCUACAGUGCUGGCACUUAACUUGAGCUGGUGUAGGAUUUGGGCAUUUGCUGGGAUAAUGUCCAUAUCCCUUGCAACAAGUACACUAGAUAUUCUCACGUUCAGUAAUGGGUUGAGGUAGUGUCUGGACUCCUUAAAUCCAGUUAACCUGAAGCUCAAACAUUUUCUUGGUAAGUGUUUCUAAAUUGUCACAUACUUUGGAGAUUUCUUGCAAUUGUGGCAGAGUUGAAGAGGAAGUAGCCACGGCAAGAAGUACAUGCUGUUAAAGGUGGCUGUAAUUGAUAGUUCUAAGGAAAGGUAAAUUCAUUGAAUCAGUGAAUGAAGGAUGUAACUGUGAUGCUACUGAUGUUUGCAAGGAGGGAAAGGUUGGCGGAAUCACUACCAAACACUGAAAGAAUGGAGUAGAAAAACUGCUGGAAGUGAGCCAUGCUCACGCAGGCUUGCUCCCAACUGGAAGCCGUGGAAAUAGCCUCAGCAAGUGUUGUGGGAGUCUGGCCCUUUGUGAAGAAAGCCAAUUUGGGAGGCAGGGCGUUUGUGAAGAAGCGAACCUGAUCGUCCUUGCUGGGAGGAGGGAGCGACUAGUCACUGAAACCGGAUGAUAAAACGUUGUAAACUUUCAUUUGGCAGCAAUCAAGUGUAGUUAAGUUCCUCACUAACUUGCUGUAUGAAUCCGAGAAAGGCUGAUCGAAGCAGGUCCCAGAAUGCACUGGCUGGUGCAGAAUGCUAGGCUUGGAGAUACCACUCCAGAGCAGCGUCUUGGAGUGUAGCAGGGAAGAACCAAAGGUGAUUGGCUUCAUCGGCUUCUUGGUUGGCGAUGCCAGCAGUCUCAAAGGAAUUGAGAUGUACAGAGCUUGGAGUUUGGCUUGGGUAAGGCUUAUGGGAGCUUUCUGGAGCAUGGAGCUUGAACGUUGUGCGUGGAGUUGGAGUGCAAAGUUGGAGAGAACGAGGAGAUCCAAGAAAGUUAAUUUACU
rnacentral:lncRNA from 1 species